rnacentral:tRNA from 1 species
AUCGUCUAAUUCUCAACCACCCUACUAAAUUAUUAAAGAACAAUAAAACCAAUAAAAAGAAAA